rnacentral:rRNA from 1 species
UAUCGGGCAAGGAAAUAUUUAUAGCUGUAAGAUAGGCAUGCGUCCCAUUAGCUAGUUGGUGAGGUAACGGCUCACCAAGGCAACGAUGGGUAGGGGAACUGAGAGGUUUAUCCCCCACACUGGUACUGAGACACGGACCAGACUCCUACGGGAGGCAGCAGUGAGGAAUAUUGGUCAAUGGGCGAGAGCCUGAACCAGCCAAGUCGCGUGAAGGAAGACUGUCCUAAGGAUUGUAAACUUCUUUUAUACGGGAAUAACGGGCGAUACGCGUAUUGCUGUGAAUGUACCG